rnacentral:pre_miRNA from 1 species
UCUUAGAGAUGAGUAAAGGAAGUGGUUUCUUGAGAUGGAAUCUACUCCUGGUGAAGAUGCUGUAAA